AGUUUUUGGCUGGGGCAUCCGAGGAGUAUAACAUAACCUCCCUGAUAAACAUCUUAGAACUACAAUUCCAAGAAACAGAAAACUGACGUAACGUGACCCGACAAUCGAUCAACGAACCAAGUUACCCUGG
rnacentral:rRNA from 1 species